AACUUUAGAUAAUUAUCCCAUUUGAGAACAAUAAAGAGAUGUGUUAAAACCCGUAGAUUAAAAGUAGUACAAAGGAAAAAAACUCAUUACAUUUGAGAAUACUGUGUCUAUACAAUUGCUUUCAGAGCAAAUACAUUCUUCAUACUUCAUAUGCUAUUUAACACACUGCAGGAUCUAUAAAAACCACCAUGGUUUCUAAAAGCCUGCACAACAUAUAGGAAUAAGAGUUUCAUUUUUUUCAACCCCUUCAAAACAAAAACUGCUCUUUCUUCUGUUUUGCACUUCCCAAUCAGUGUAAAACAAAUUUCCAGCUUCUUUGCAAUUCGACAACCCAAGCUCAAAAAGACCCCUUUUUUUUUCCUGUUUAAAACAGAGAAGAAUUCAUAAUCUUGUUAUUAUUCUUCUUCUCAAACUCCACAUCCUAAUCCUCUUGCUUCUGAUCCUUUCAUUAUCCUUAGCCUCUUACAUGAUGAUAAGAACAUUUCAAAAGGAACAUCUCCAACAAGCAUCAAGUCACCAUCUUUAUCUUCAUAAGCAGGAGCAAAUUCAGACCCUUUAUACCCUUCCCUUUCUGAAUAUUCACCGAUACUCAGCUUGAACAUUUUCUCUAAUGCCUUCAACAGUUCUGGAUAACCCUUGUACAAUUUCAGAUCAAUUUUUCUAAGAUAAGGGGCUCCAUCCAUACUAACUUUCACAUACAUCCCACAUUCAGCUUCUGCUUUCUUUGAUGGAAAGCUAUUUUUCCUGUUAGCUCUUACUGGUGGCCACCCUACUAUUUGUGUCUUGGCAACAGGUGGAGUUUUGGGAUCUGAAAUGGAGUUUGAUUCACAAUCUUCAUCCUCAGGCAAAGCCCUCUUGUUAUUCUUGAAAUGAAAUACAAUUUCUUUGUCAGAUUCUUCAUCUGUCCUCCCUGGUAAACCCAAUCUAAGCUCUGUUGCCUUGAGAUUCAAAUCUUUCUCAUGAGCCAAAACACACUCCAUUUUUCUUUUUCACAAAAUUGGAUUGCAAUUCAAGUUUCCUUCUCCAAAACUGAUGAUUUUUCUUCUCCAAGAUUGGUUUGAAGAUGCUAAAUGGUAGCUUGCUGUAAUA
rnacentral:misc_RNA from 1 species